CCCAGCAACCGCCCCGCCCACCGCCCACCCAGACCCAGCGCUCCCCUUGCCACCAAACCCGCGUGGCCCUCCGACGUCGGUUCGUCUCCGACCACGACUGGAAAAGGUCAAACCGCCACCGCGCGCACCGACUCUUUCCCGGAAACCCAUCGCCGCCAUCAGCUCCACGCCCCCCUAUAGAAAUACCACACAAGCCCCCCAUGGUUUCCCCGCAUCGGAGGAUUUGAUUGACUUGUCUUCUCCUCUUCCACCUCUCGUCGUUGGGUAAGUCGCAGGUAUGGUAUUCGUAAUCGGUCCCGAUCUCGCGCUCUGCUCGCUGUUCUUCGUUUGAUUGUAUUCCAGGCGAGCGUUCUGUCUUGGUUGAGGUGCUCCUUCCGUCGAGUUCUUAGUCCCGGUGGUUUCUCGUCUGUUUCGUUGAUAUUGGUACCGUACGUGUUCUGAACCUUGCUGCUUUGAUUUAGGGUCGCGGCUAAUCUAUUUUGCUUUGACUUCUGAUCUGAUUUAGGGAUCCAUCAUGCUCUGAUUGCGAUGUGAUUUAGGGUCGUGUAUCAUAUUUGCUGAUUUGAUUUAAGGUUGUGAUGAGUAACGGAGAUUAUAUUUGGCGCGAAUUACGAGUUAUGUUGGUAUAGAUACGUGGAGCAGUUCGUUUGGUUUCAGUUCUGUUCGUUAUGGCGGAUUGGCCUGGUCGGUUUAGUUGGUCCCGUGGAGAUGUUUGACAUGAUCCGAAUGAGAGAUUGAAGGUUGUGGUUUCAGUUUCGAUUCUUCUGUUCAAUUCAAGGUGAUUCAGUAAUGUUCUGCGUACAAAGUGCUUCAUAUUUUUGCGGCGAAAAACAGUGGGUUGGCGACAGUUCAGACAGUCAAAAUUCUCCAGUAUUUUUGCCUUUGAUCCCGUUCAUUCAUACAUAGUCAGACUCAAUAAGAAUUAGAGGAAGUUGGAAAAAGGUUUGCUAGGUCUAUCCGGAUAUAUUUGCUUUCGCCUAGCAGCCUAUACAUGUCAGAUUAUAUAUGAAAAGGAUUGUGCUAUAUUACCAUGUUACGAAGGUAGAGCUGGGAUAUGUCUUUCUUGAACUGUGUGCACAUGCUCAUGGUGGAGGUGUGAUUCUUCAGUGGCUAUAUUUUGGUGUCAACUUUUGGUUGGUUUCAUUUCAAGAUUGCUAGGAAAAUCGGAGGUUGUGUUUGCAUUCUAGACGUAAUUAUCUUGGGAAGUACCUCAAAUGAACAUGGAAGUUUUGCUUUUGAAGUGAUCUGUUUGAAGGUUCUUUCAACUAGAGUGAAGAAACUAUUGGAUUGUGUCUGCAAAAUUAGUUUACUGCUGCUGUGUUUUUCUGGAGUGGUAUGUCAAGGUCUAUUCAGAUGCUGGUUACUGUGUGGGAUUCUACCAAUCCUUCUGAUCACUAGCUUGUGCGUUUGAUUUUCUACAUGGAUAUUCGGUUGGGCUUCAGCCGGUUUCAUGCUCUGUCCGGUGUUGGAUUAGUCUUAGCCUGAUAAUUAGUACUCUUAUUGUAAUCUGUAGCCAUGUUUUUAUGAUUAGUAUGUUCUAAUGCAAUUUAUGUUGUACACAACUGUCAAUUAUGCAUCUGUUCUGAUGUUGCUUACUGUAACCGAUGUAAUUGUUGAAUGAUAUAUGGAUGCCAUAAUUUAGCCCUUCGUCUUCAUUUUGUUUGGUGUAUAAAAGCUGUAACCAAAUAGCAACUGAAUUUCAUAGCGUGAUGUUCUUUUUUCCUGCAUAAGUUACAUUUUUAUUCAUUGUUCAUCCAUGCAAAUUCAGUGGAUAUUGUUGGGAACAUCCUGCUUUUGUAGUUCUCAUCAUCUCAAGUUAACAAUGAUGACUUUUGACCUAACAUUUUGAACUUUGUUACGUUAUCCAUCGUUAUGUUGUCCGAUCAUCCGUUUAAUCAGUUUAACUGUGAAAUAUGGUGCUUGUUGUGCUGUCCAUAUGCAGAAGAUUAAUUUUAAUUAUCACAUGGGGUGCUUGCAUUUAAUCUUGAUUUCACAUAUAUCAUUCAUGAGUAUCAUAUUAUGUUGCUAUUUUACGUAGUUUGGUAUUAUAAGCUUGAAGUUCAUGUUAAUGUGAGGGUAAUACUGUGAGAUAACUAUGUUAGUCCAUAUAUAGAGUUCUAUGUUUGAAUUAUUUACAGUCUGCUUUUACUCUUGAGUUCCCAACCUAGUUAGUGUCAGUUAAGAUCUUAUACUGUUCAUGGAACACCUUAUAUGAUCUGUAACAGUUUUGAGCAAGUAUUCAAAGGCAAUAUAGUGAUAAGUGGCGUUGGUCUAAUCGUAGUUCUACGCGUAUGUUGUUUACAAUUUAUUUUCACUCUUAUAGUUUCCACCUUGUCAGUGAAUUAAGAUUCUAGUUCUGUUUUUGGAACUUGAUUAACAUGCAAUAAGUUCUGAUUUAACACCCCCCCCCCCCUCUGGUUGAGAAUUGAGAUUAUAUGGCACAUACUGCAACUUUCAAGCUUGGUAGAAGAUUUAUUUGCAUGUGAUUUAGCUUUCCUUCCCUCCUUAUUUUGUUCAGAUGAUAAGCAUAAGCAUGGUAUGUACGGUAAUUUUCAGGUGCCUUGUUUUCAAAAUAAAAACAUUUUAUUAUGCUGUGAGAUUAUUUGAAUAACUACUUGUCCCUGAUUCGUUGUGUUGUAUUCAUCUCUUAGGUCUGAACAGUGCAGUUGUUGUAUAUGACCUGAUGUUCCUUUUGCGUCCUUGGAUGUGGGCUUCUGUUUGUUUACUAGUUCUUAUUAGCUCAGCAACUAGCUGAGUCUUAUCCUCUUGACUAACUAGAGCAGUCUUAACAGAAAAUACGAUUUAUUUGUUGUGCUUAACUACUCUUAAAUUGUCUGCAUGAUCUAGUUUUGACGCUUUUUCCUGAAUAAUGUAAAUAAUGUUGUGCCGUUUAACUUGUUACUUGAGUUCCAAUUCCUACAGUUCUAAUUUUCUUUUGCUUGACAUAGAAUUAUGCUAUCUGUUGAAAUUAUUUAUCUUGCUACUGGUCACUAUUCACAUGAUUUUUUAAUGGUUAGGAUGAUGUUACGAGCCAAGUAGGUGUUGCUACAUUCUACGCUUUAUUAUUUAGUUAGAUAGAAGUCACCUGGAAAAUACAUCAUAGGGGUUUUAAUUUCUCAGCCUUGGUGACCAGUUGUAUAUAAGUUGGUAGCUUUUUAUUUUAGUUCAAAAAACUUGAUUUGUUCAUAUGAGUUCUUAGUUUCCUUUUAAGCCUGUUAUGCUGUACAUGUGUCUAAAUAGAAUUUUCUGGCCUAUCGGUAUUUGUUGUUUGUACUGCAUUUUCAGUUUUUUGCUAAUAAUAAAUGUUUGGUCAGUCUUGGUAUGCCCCUAACCCUCUUGUUGUUUUGUUCUAGUCUGGAUUUGAGCUCUGUUCCCUAUCCCCAUGUUGCACCGCUUUAAGAUAUUUUAAAAUCUUUUGAUGUGCUGCGUGUAUAUCCUUAACAAACUCAAAUACAUUUUUAUUCAUCGCCAGGUAAUACCUUACAAGUUUCUUUGUUGAGAAUUAGGUGGGCAAGCUAGUUCGUACUGCCGUUUAUUUCAUGUUUGCACAUCUUAUUGACACUGUUGACAUAGAGAUUUAUUUUGAGAAAGAGUUUGUUUAGUCUUGAUCGCUAUGUAGUUCUGUGCAGUUCAGUCACCAUCUUGUACGUUGUUAAUUUAUAAUGUUAAAUAACUUAUGUGUACAGUAAACAAUCUUUUACUGAUUCUACUUGUGAUCCAAUUACUAAGUACUAUACUUGUACGUGAAUGUCAAAUUGAUUUGUACCAGAUUGUUAUUAGACAGUGUUUUUCUUUCCUCAUCUGUUGCAUUUUGAAUGACAAUAUAAUAUAUGUUGUUUUUUUCAAUCUUUACUGUUGUGUUGUUAAAAAUGUAUGUUUCUCCUAUUUGUAUUUUGUUAUGGCGCUGCUAGAAGGAGGGCGCGAGAGGGCCGGCCGGGGGCCUUUUGCCCACGGCCGGGCAAGAUGGAAGGGAUUUCCUUCUUAAUUCUUGCUUGACUAGAUUGAUACAUCUCCUCCCCUUAUAUAGAGAGGUUUACUUGACUCCCCAGCAAGGCUUACUUGACCCCUAAGCAAGCGACCCUUAUCUCUAAUUAACCCUAAGACUAACAGGCUAUACCGCCAGCCCAGGCCCAUUAGGCCCAUUACGUACUCCAACAGUUCUUUCUUCUAAACUUAACAACUAUUACAUGCCUAUAAUUUUGCAAAUAAGUAGCUCUCGUAGGUUCAGUAGCACCAUGCUUUCCGAAAUGUGAGUUCAUAUAUUUAACUUUCUUCCAGACAUCUUUUCGUGUUGUACAAACUAGGCCAUACAUUUUUACUCAAAGUUCAUAUAUCAUACCAUUGUCAAGUUAAUUUGGUACUCCCUCUAUCUGUUUUUAAGUCAAAACUUUCACAAUACAAAAAGUAUGUAGAAAAGAAAACACCAACAUUCACAAUACAAAAACAAUAUCAGUAAGAUUCAUCAUAGAAUAUAUUUUCAUAUUGUAUUUGAUACUGUAGAUGUUUGAUACUUCUCAAAAAGAAACGGAAGGACUAUUUUUUUCCGUUGUUAUAGCAUUGUUUUGAAAAUGGCUAUUUUAUCUUAAAUGGUGCAUCGUGCAUCAACUUUUUUGGCUCUGCAUUGUCCCAAAUUUGGUGCAUGGCUGAAUUUGAAGUGUGCUUGUGGUAAUUAUCAAGGUGUUAAUUUUGCAUGUUGACCUUUUGUCCCGGUUAGUUAUUGGUCUCUUUUCAAAGCUUUGGCGGCAUUUUGAUUUGUUGAAAAUAACAACUAUUUGAAGAAUGUUCACUCGGUUUACCGGACAGUCAAGUACCUGAUAUUAGUUUGGCCUUUUGAUGUAACUGUAACAAUUGCAAGCUUGAGAAGUUGAAUUUGGUUUGGUCUGGGACUUGGGCGGUGUAUUUGUUAGCUGCAGUGCACUUCUUUUUAGAUCUCUAUAGGUGUUGUGUAUUUUCUUUAGUGCAUUAUGAUAUACAGAACUACUCCCUCCGUUUGUUUUUAUAAGACGUUUCAGACAGCUUGUUUUGUAUUGUUUUAAACAGUGUCUGAAUGUCUAAAACGUCUUAUAAAAAUGAACAGAGGUAGUACUUUUUUGUAUUUGACUGAUUGAAUCGUGCCUCUUAAAAGAUGUUACAGUUCCUAUUUGUAAUCAAUGUGUAUGAUUCAUUUUUUGGACGGUGUGUAUGAUUUGUUUUGAAGUGAAUCGUUUAUCUUUCUAUAAAUGCGAGUGUUUGUGUCCAUUAAAAAUCUUGCGCCGGUUCUUGAUUCAGUAGCACCUUACAUGGCUUUGAUCUGUUAAUGUGGAUUUGUGUUUUCAUCUGGUAUACAGUUCUCUUGUGUUCAGUGUGUGCAUAAUAAGUCAGAGUGUUGCAGUAUAUGCCUUCGUUUAGUUUUGUCCCUUGCAAUUGUGGCAGUAUCUUUCUAUAUAAUUGAUAAUUUCGAACAUGAAUAGUUGAUUGUUGAGUUUCUUCCCAUAUAAUUGAUGAUUUUGAAUAGGAAUAGUUGAUUGUUCAGUUAAUAGUAAAAGUUGGGAGUGCUUAUGCCUUACAAUAUUUCGUAUCUUUGUUUCCUGAAUUAGUUAUCUUUCUUGGUUGGGACAUGUUGUUAAUUUGUGUUAAUCUGACAUGUUGUGUGCUAUUGUGUGCAAAAUGACCCCUCCAAAAGAGGCCUUCUCAUUUAAGAAUACUGGAAUGAUACAGACGGAUAUGUUUUGCUUUGUUUUCUUGGGUAUGACUUGGAUGCUAAUACUUCAGAUAUUUUCUUCAAUUUUAUUCUUCAGAUAGUUGAAGGUACUAACUGAUUUUUUUACAUUUAUAAGCUUUGUUGUGAUAACGUGUUCUUCAAUUUUAUGUUUCCUUUGUUUGCGAUUUUGUCCAAAACAAUUUUAGUGCCUAUAUUGUAUGUUCAUUAGCACACAUCUGAAAUGCAAGUUCCUACAUUUUCUGUUUUUUUUUUGCUGCAUUCAACUUAGCUAUCAAUUCAACAACUUAGCUAAACAUAUCAAUUAUAUGUUCAUAUCAACUUUUUAUCCAUCGUUGUUGUGAGUAUGGCUGUCUUAAUUAUAUUAGAUACUUAUUUUGACAGGGUCUCAGAUUUGGUGCAUGUCGGAAUUUCUAGUGUGAUACUGUACAGUCAUGAUGCAAGGUGUUAAUUUGUGUAUGCUGACCUCAUCUGCGUGAAAUAGUUGAGCUAAUUAAUAUAACUGCAAUUUAUGCAAUUAAUAGUCAUGAGAAUUUGCUAUUUAUGUUUUAUUAUUUUAUAUCGGCGCACAAGUCUUUUAUGUUGGAUAGAUUGAGUUUUGCUUGGCGGUAGCUUCUAUUUGUAUGAUUUCCUUUGAAAGGGAUAUCGUUUUGUCGAUGGGUUUGUUUUCAUAGCCUUGCAUUUUGUGUGUGUUAUUUGUGUGCAAAAAAGAGUCUCAGUAGGUCAUUUUCUUAACCAUUUCUGAGCAUCUCAUUUUGAUGUGAGCUGUGUAUGUUGUUUGCAUCUCUAUUUACAGUUUGUAUUGUUUGCCCUGUUGACAUGUUUCAUAUUUGCCUCUGUAGAUUUAUUCUUUAUAUGUGAAGCGUAUGUAUGGGGUGGGUGAGGGUGCGUAACACUGCCAAUGCUGGUCCCAAGCCCGGAUAAAAGUGGAGGGAGCACCAACUAACUAUUGUAUGUGACAGUCUAUUUUGCGGAAGUUGUUUCUGACUUUCAGUAUUCUAGAAUAGAAUCUAAGCGGAUGUACCUAGCUGAAGAUGUGGGAGCUCGUCCAGCUUGAUUAUGCACACAGGAAAUGAAAAUCUCUGGUCGCAACUAAUCCUAGCAUGAAAAUAGGGAAGGAAAUAAGAACUUGGAAGGUACAGUGAUGUUCCAAACCCAAAUGGAAGUUUGCCAAACUUGUCCUGAGCAGAGCCGGGGGACAUUGGUGGAAGUCAUCGUUUUAACUUUGUAGACUGUGGUCAACUCUACAAGUAGCACGGGCAAAAUAUGUGCAAAUUUUCAAGCUUGGCAAUUUAACUAGAUGAUAAUCUAAUUUCACGUUCUUUGUGGUACCAGAAGAUCAAAAACACAUGCUGAAACUUUGCAGCUUAGCGCUCUAUUUCAGCGAUGAAGAGAGAGCAACGACAAAGGUUCAUUUGGUAAUUCUCAUCCUCUCUUUACUCCAUCAAAUCUGCUUAUGAACAACACUGUUUGAAGGAAUUGUGAAAUCUCCUCUGUUGGCUAUUUGUACUCUGAUGUCAUGUUGGCGCCCUCUUUCUAAAUGAUCCAAUGCCAGCAGAGUGGAAGCACAGAGGUGACAGGGCUGUAGCAGAAACAUUUGUGAUUGUAUCCCGUGGUUCUUCUGGUCUGCCAGCUCUUGGCUUGGGCAUCGUUGCUGUCCGGUGCCUUGCACGUCCCGCCAACACAAAUAAAAGAGUAACCUUGUCAACGGGCUCCUCCGCCUAGCACAAAAAAUAGUCGAAAUCUCUCUGACGCAGUCGCCAGAGAUGCAGCCAGAAACAAGCCUUUGUUAGACGGAUUCGCAAUGCCAACAUCCUAGCUUGGUUCAGCUCAGCACGAGUGCACGACACCAGAAACCGUACCACUUGGCGGGUGAAACGACGCUCCAGCCUGAAAGAACUAGUCAAAUUUCUCUCUUCUUCUUGCUUUGUCCAAGACCCCAAGGUGUCCAAAACCUGUGUUGUUCGACACGAGAGCGAUCAAGCUUGAGAAGCAGAGCAAGAUCAUCAAGAUGGACCACCUUUCUCUCCUCGUGCUGCUCGUCGUCUGCUUGUGCCUGGCCAUCCAUCUCCAGGGCGCCAAUACGGCAACUCCUCCAACAAUGGCGUGGCUGGGGUCGCCGGCCCGGGCUACUCCUCGCUGGGCGUGGCCGCCGCUGCGCUCGUUUUUAACUGAAGAUGACCUCACCUGAGCUCCUCGAGUUAGCUGUUGCCUGCUUUUGUAUCAUUACUUAGUGAUGUUCUUGAAUAAAUAUUUAAAUAUAUAACAGGUAUUUUUUUGC